UGGGGAAUCUUGGACAAUGGGCGCAAGCCUGAUCCAGCCAUGCCGCGUGCGGGAAGAAGGCCUUCGGGUUGUAAACCGCUUUUGGCAGGAACGAAACGGCGCGGGUGAAUAUCCCGCGCUAAUGACGGUACCUGCAGAAUAAGCACCGGCUAACUACGUGCCAGCAGCCGCGGUAAUACGUAGGGUGCGAGCGUUAAUCGGAAUUACUGGGCGUAAAGCGUACGCAGGCGGCUAUGCAAGACAGGUGUGAAAUCCCCGGGCCUAACCUGGGAACUGCAUUUGUGACUGCAUGGCUAGAGUCUGUCAGAGGGGGGUGGAAUUCCACGUGUAGCAGUGAAAUGCGUAGAGAUGUGGAAGAACACCGAUGGCGAAGGCAGCCCCCUGGGAUGAGACUGACGCUCAUGUACGAAAGCGUGGGGAGCAAACAGGAUUAGAUACCCUGGUAGUCCACGCGGUAAACGAUGAGAACUGGACGCUGGGUGGGUAACCACUCGGUGUCGGAGCUAACGCGUUAAGUUCUCCGCCUGGGGAGUACGGCCGCAAGGUUG
rnacentral:rRNA from 1 species